CCGGGCUUUUCUACAGAAGGCAGCUCCCGCUGGGCACGGUCCAGGCACCAGGCAACGGAGACGCCUCGACCACGGGCGAAGUGGGCACGGGGGAGCGGCUAGCUUGGGAGGAGGGCAGAGGAGCCGAGUGGAGACAGCAGAAGGACCACCCAGAUACAGAAGAGACAAGAAAGCGUGAGACAUGAGGCAAGCACAUCCCGGUCAGCCCAGACGACCCCUCACAUCCCAAGAAGACACAACCGGAGACCUGCUCACCCACAAGCCUCCACCUCUCACUCCUGGUUUUCCCAGGGAUGUCUUCUGGGACCAUCCUACUUCAAAUGAUAUUCCCGGGUGUCUGGAUAGCUCACUCAGCAGAAAUCCUGCGGUUAUGAUGCCACGAGGUAACAUCUGGCAGGAAGGCCCUUUUAACAUGUGAGAGUAUAACAGGCUACAGAGGAUGAUCUGAGAGGCUUGGUGAGUCAUCUGUGCCCGGACAGCACAAACGGCAAGUGCAAAGAGCAGAGCCACACCACUACCAGACACGGCACUGGGCUGUCUGUCCAGGGCAGUCUGCGUGGACCAUUGCUGCUGCCCCUGUUGACAGAGCUAUUGUCCUCCUCACCCCGACAAGACAGCCACAGCACCUUAAGAGGAGGAGCAUCUCAGGAGAAGACCUGGCUGUCAACUCAACACAUACCGCUCUCCACAGUUAGGAGGGUAAGUUACCAUGCCUGUCUCUUUGCUUAUUUCUGGGGAAUGCAUGUCCUCAGGGAGGGGCCACCUGGUUAGAGGGGAAAAGACCUGAUUUUAGUCCUAUCUUUGGAGCCAGGGAAUAAGUCUUUAAUGUGAGAAAAACAGCGCUAAGUUGAAAAAAGUGGAGGAGAGGAUACAAUGAUAACAAAACAGGUUCCUGCUCGGAGUCCUGAGACAGAAAAUAUCAAGGGGAAGGGGAGCGCUAACUUAGAUGGGGGUUCAGGGAGGGCUUCUUGAGGGGAUUACAUUUAAUUGGGGCCUGGAGGACCGGCAGGAGUCAUUCUUUCCCUCCAAUUUUGAAUAAAACCUCUGUUCCUCAGGGGACUGGGGCACCUUGCUCCACUCCCUCACCUACCCCCUUGUGUACUACACUGCAGCCAAGCUGGCGUUCUCUCUGUUACUCAAAUUAGCCAAUGCCAUUCUGAUGCACUUUCCUUUGCCUACAAGGGCUUAGCAAGGCCUGUUGGCCACCAGGUUUCAGUUCAAAUGUUAACUUCUUGCAGAGACCUUCCCUGCUCACCUACAGCCACCCCUAACUCCUUAACUCUCACAAACGUAUCCUCUUGGUUCAUUUUCUUCAUAGCCCUUGAAAUCAUCAAAAACUAUUUUCUCAGAGCACCUGGGUGGCUCGGUUAAGCAUCCGUCUCUUGAUUUCAGCUCAGGUCAAGAUCUCACGGUGGUGGGAUUGAACACAACUGGGCAUGGAGCUGGCUUAAUUAAGAUGCUCUUUCUCUGCCCCUCCCUCGCUCGAUUACACUCUCUCUCUCAAAAAAAAAACUGCUUUCUUGUUUGUUGCCUCUAUUGCAUUAAUGCCUCACUUCUAUUACAACAGAUGUUUCAUGAAGUCAGGGAUGUUACCCCUUCACUGCAGUAUCCCCAGCACUAGAAGGGUCGUCAGGACAAGGUAAGUAUGCCAGUUGUCCGAAUGCUAGUUGUCCAAUGAAUGAGGCAACUCCGCGAAGAGGGGGCGGGGGCGAAGAACCGCACCGGGUAAAGCAAGGGCGUCGGGCUGACAAUUGGUUGGAAAACGAGGGUGCAGGGGAGAGGCAGCGCAUGGGGUGGCCAGCCGGCACGAGCUGCUCACGAGCGGGUGUGCUCAGGCAACUGCAGGCGCGAGGCCGACGGGGACGCAACCCGGACAGAACCGGUCCUCCCAGGUCUCCCACCACUGCAGCCUCAGCUCUGCGCAGCCACCCAGGCUCUGCGGGACCGGCCCGCACACUUGCCGCGCCAGCCGGUGGGAACCGGACUCCGGACCCUCCCUAAGGCCCAGAACGAAGGAAAAGCGAGGGGGCGGCGCCGGCUGCAGGUCAGCGCCCCGCGGUGCUCAGCGCGGCCUCUGUGCGGACCACAGCCUCAGCCAGGCCGGGUUCAGAGAACCGCACUCACCCCACUCCGGUCCCCGCCCCGCGGCCAGGACCUACUCACCCUGGGCCGCUAUCCCGGACCGCACGCAGAGGGCGCCGGGAGCAGGCGGUCCGGUUCCGGCCCGCCCCCGGAAACGGGUCUCAGCGCCGCUCUAGGAGGCUCGGAGGACCACGCGCCUCGGUGGGCGCCUUUUGGCUCCUACGGCGCGAGGCUGGUGAUGGAAGAGGGCUGCUGAGGGCGGGGCGCUCUUCUGGACCUGAUCUCCCGUGAACUCCCAAAUCCGAGGGGCGAGCCCGCUGCGGGAGUCGGGGAUCCCGGCGCAGAGCCCCCAAGCCUGAGAGCAGACGCGUCCACGCGAGACCUCGAGAAAGGCCAAUGGAAAAGUCGAGCAUCAUUCCAGGCAACCGGGUGCUGAGGCAGCGUCCUUUCUCUUUCAACUUUUUGUUGUUAGAUAAUUAUAAAAUCAUGCAAGUUGCAAAGGCAGUACGGAGAGGUCCUGUGUAUCCUUCACCCUCUUCCCCUACAGUUGAAAAAGCUUCUCUACGAUCGUGUCUUUCAAACUUUUGUGACACGGUAAAAAAUGCUUUACAGUAUGACCCAGCACACGCACAAAUCUAUGCUUAUGAAUAAAUGCUUACACAUAUAGUAAUUUUAAAA